GACGAACGCUGGCGGCGUGCUUAACACAUGCAAGUCGAGCGGAAAGGCCCUUCGGGGUACUCGAGCGGCGAACGGGUGAGUAACACGUUAGUAACCUGCCCCAGACUUUGGGAUAACCCUCGGAAACGGGGGCUAAUACCGGAUACGACACAGCUUCGCAUGGGGUCUGUGUGGAAAGUUUUUCGGUUUGGGAUGGGCUCGCGGCCUAUCAGCUUGUUGGUGGGGUGAUGGCCUACCAAGGCGACGACGGGUAGCCGGCCUGAGAGGGCGACCGGCGACACUGGGACUGAGACACGGCCCAGACUGCUACGGGAGGCAGCAGUGGGGAAUAUUGCACAAUGGGCGGAAGCCUGAUGCAGCGACGCCGCGUGAGGGAUGACGGCCUUCGGGUUGUAAACCUCUUUCAGCGGGGACGAAGCGUAAGUGACGGUACCUGCAGAAGAAGCGCCGGCCAACUACGUG
rnacentral:rRNA from 1 species